UAGACAGUUAUAUGUUUAAUUUGACCAACGUUAGAUUAAUACAUAUGAUUGUUAUAUUGAUGUCACUUAAAUUGUAAUUUCAGGAGGCUUUCAUUUGAUGAGUUUCCUAAAAGAAGUUCCGACACUCAGAGGUGACAACCACACUGAGUGGAGGAAGAAAGUUGAACUGGCGUUUGUUUGUGCUGAUCUUGACUGAGUUGUGGAGAAACCACAGCCGGUCAGACCCACAGAGCCAGUAAGAGAGGCUACUGACGAUGAUGCUGCAUGGGCUAAAAAGAAAGGGGACUAUGCUCCUUUAGAGCAGUCCUACCUUAUAGAUAAUCAAAAGUGGGUCAAUGCAAAUAAAAAAUGCAUGGCCUUUAUAAAGAACACCAUUGAGAGCGCCAUUGUGGGCUCCAUUGCAGAGUGCACUUCCGCAGGGGAGUUGCUCUCAAAGAUAAAGAGCCAGUUCACUGGCUCUUCAAAGAUAUAUGCCACCCAGGUGUUAGAGCAACUGGUGACAGAAAAAUACACAGGUGGUAGUCAUGGCAUAAGAGAGCACAUCCUCAGGAUGAGCAAUAUGGCUGCAAAGCUCAAACCCAUGGAUGCGGAUCUGGAGAUCAAACCAGCGCUCCUGGUCCACUUGUCAUGGCUUCAUUGCCGAAGGAGUUUGAAGCUUUUGUUGUGAACUAUAAUAUGUCACCUGGAACAUGGGACGUAGAAAAGACAAUAGCAAUGUGCGUUCAAGAAGAGGAGAGACUAAAAGCCUCACAUGGUGGUACACUCAACUAUGUGCAUGGUCACAAAAGAAAGAAUUACAAUCUAAACAACAAAAGUUCUCCUUCAAAGCCACAAGGAAAAGUUUCCUAUCAGCAUCAGCGUCAGCAAUAGCCUUUCUCAGUGGACAAAGACACUUGUCUCCACUGUAAGAAGACCGGGCAUUACAAGAAAGACUGUCCUGUUUGGCUAAAGUCGAUCAUGGCAAAAAGAGGGAUUCCAUUCGACGCGGACUACGCUAAGAAGCGAAAGACGCAUUGAAGUGGCGAACGGAGUCGAAGCAGAAGUUGAAGCUGUCGGUGAUAUCUCCUUGGAGUUAGCUGAUGGAUUCAAUCUUCUACUUAGAGAUGUUUUAUUUGUUCCAUCAUGUCAUAGAAACUUAAUAAGUGUUUCUUGCUUGGACAAAGAUAAUUAUGAGUGUUAUUUUGGACAUGGCAAGUGUGCCAUUUGGUUAAAUAAUGCUUAUGUGGGUGAUGCUUUACUACAUGAUGAGCUUUAUUUGUUAUCACUUCGUGAAAAAGUUUAUUCCGUUUGCAAUGUGAAAGAACAUGUUUCUGCGUCGAAUAAAGAACAAAAGAAAAG